rnacentral:rRNA from 1 species
GACGAACGCUGGCGGCGUGCCUAAUACAUGCAAGUAGAACGCACAGUUUAUACCGUAGCUUGCUACACCAUAGACUGUGAGUUGCGAACGGGUGAGUAACGCGUAGGUAACCUGCCUGGUAGCGGGGGAUAACUAUUGGAAACGAUAGCUAAUACCGCAUAAUAUUAAUUAUUGCAUGAUAAUUAAUUGAAAGGUGCAAUUGCACCACUACCAGAUGGACCUGCGUUGUAUUAGCUAGUAGGUGAGGUAACGGCUCACCUAGGCGACGAUACAUAGCCGACCUGGGAGGGUGAUCGGCCACACUGGGACUGGGACACGGCCCAGACUCCUACGGGAGGCAGCAGUAGGGAAACUUCGGCAAUGGACGAAAGUCUGACCGAGCAACGCCGCGUGAGUGAAGAAGGUUUUCGGAUCGUAAAGCUCUGUUGUAAGGGAAGAACGGGUGUGAGAGUGGAAAGUUCACACUGUGACGGUAUCUUACCAGAAAGGGACGGCUAACUACGUG